CCCUUAGAUGUUCUGGGCUGCACGCGCGCUACACUGAUGCGCUCAACGAGUUUACGACCUUGCCCGGAAGGGUUGGGUAAUCUUUUUAAAACGCAUCGUGAUGGGGAUAGAUUAUUGCAAUUAUUAAUCUUUAACGAGGAAUUCCUAGUAAGCGCGAGUCAUCAGCUCGUGCUGAUUACGUCCCUGCCCUUUGUACACACCGCCCGUCGUUCCUACCGAUUGAGUGAUCCGGUGAAUAAUUCGGACUGCAGCAGUGUUCAGUUCCUGAACGUUGCAGCGGAAAGUUUAGUGAACCUUAUCACUUAGAGGAAGGAGAAGUCGUAACA
rnacentral:rRNA from 1 species